UCUCCUACUCUUUUUCCCUUGCCUACAUUGUUCCAUCAACCAAAGGUUGUUC
rnacentral:sRNA from 1 species